CUGUUCAGUGUUUACAGUAAAGUUGAAACUACAAGAUCUGUGGGAUGAUUUGGAAAAGAAAUACAAAUCUUUCAUUGUCGGCUUUGGAACUUCUUCACAGUAAGAUUUCUAAAUUUUGUGAUGGUUGAAAUCACAGGAAUUGUCAACCGGAGGUGCUCGCAUAUCGGCGGUACGUGGUGUAGCUGCUACAUCCCAGCAUCAGGGAGGUCGGUUCGUGUUCUCAUGCGGUACGAGGUCUGCACUUCAAGAAAUAAACUGUUAAAACUGUCACAAGCUGUCGUUGAAUCCUGCUUUUCAGUCCAGAUCUUUGUGUCUAGUUUAUGACUGAGGAGCGAACAUUGAACACCUGGGGUAUGCGGUUAUCUCGAGAAUGCGCCUUUGGUGAAGAUGCAUUGGUCACAAGCAUCAUGACUAUCUUUUGGUACCACUUGCUUGUUUAAGAAUUGUAUUAUCGGGUUUAAUCAUGUACUCUUUGUUUUAGUAGAUGUUGUAAGAAUUUCAAGAGAUGGAUCACUGCGUGUCUUGCGAUGAUUUCAUUCUCACAAUGGUCUAAUAUACAAUGGAGGUUUCAAUUCGGUAGGAUUAAGUCUAAGUUAGUGACUAAAUUUGAUAGUAGAUUGCCUUAUUGUAUUAGUGGUAUAAAAGCCUGUGGUCAAAUACUUGUAUUCAGAUUUUGGUGAAAUGAAUGUUGUUGACUGAGUAAAAAAAAGAAAGAAAAAAUUAAAUCUAACAAGAAACAUAUAGAAAAAACAUUGUAGCCAUUCCCUGUUACUCAUAUUUACAAAAGAUAAAAAUACAAAAAUUACUCCAACGCUCUUAUCUAACCAUUGAUAAUAUUUUAUCAUAAUCUUUCCACUGAUUAAACCAAAAAACGAAAC